UACGGGGGGGGCAAGCGUUGUUCGGAAUUACUGGGCGUAAAGGGCUCGUAGGCGGCCAACUAAGUCAGACGUGAAAUUCCUCGGCUUAACCGGGGAACUGCGUCUGAUACUGGAUGGCUUGAGUUUGGGAGAGGGAUGCGGAAUUCCAGGUGUAGCGGUGAAAUGCGUAGAUAUCUGGAGGAACACCGGUGGCGAAGGCGGCAUCCUGGACCAACACUGACGCUGAGUGAGCGAAAGCGUGGGGAGCAAACAGG
rnacentral:rRNA from 1 species